GCGAGGGUUGCCCAGCCAGGUCAAAGGCGCCAGGUUGAGGGCCUGGUUUCGUAGGAAUUCGUGCGUUCGAAUCGCACCCCUCGCA
rnacentral:tRNA from 2 species